GCUGAACCCGCUAAGCGGGUCGGCUGCUUGAAAUAAAACCUCAGAUAAAUGUGCAUUGGAAGUACAUUUAUUGGCAUAGGUGGGAGUUGGUGGAGACACUAUGUAAUAGCCCCACCUGCUCAUAGACAGAGGUUACGGGGGUAGGAAUACCUCUCACACACUGACAAUGGGUGGGGGCAGAGGGAUGGACAGUGACAUGUCAAUUUUAAGCCCAACCCAAUGCCUAUAGGUGGGGGCAAA